GGGAUUGUAGUUCAAUAGGCAAGAGCACCGCCCUGUCAAGGCGGACGUUGCGGGUUCGAGCCCGUCAGUCCCG
rnacentral:tRNA from 1 species